UACGGAGGGUGCGAGCGUUAAUCGGAAUCACUGGGCGUAAAGCGCGCGUAGGCGGCUUUUCAAGUCAGGGGUGAAAUCCCACGGCCCAACCGUGGAACUGCCUUUGAAACUGUAGAGCUUGAGUGUCGGAGAGGGUGGCGGAAUUCCAGGUGUAGGAGUGAAAUCCGUAGAUAUCUGGAGGAACACCGGUGGCGAGGGCGGCCACCUGGACGACAACUGACGCUGAGGUGCGAAAGCGUGGGUAGCAAACAGG
rnacentral:rRNA from 1 species